GUGGGGAAUAUUGGACAAUGGGGGGAACCCUGAUCCAGCCAUGCCGCGUGUGUGAAGAAGGCCUUUUGGUUGUAAAGCACUUUAAGCGAGGAGGAGGCUACCGAGAUUAAUACUCUUGGAUAGUGGACGUUACUCGCAGAAUAAGCACCGGCUAACUCUGUGCCAGCAGCCGCGGUAAUACAGAGGGUGCAAGCGUUAAUCGGACUUACUGGGCGUAAAGCGCGCGUAGGUGGCCAAUUAAGUCAAAUGUGAAAUCCCCGAGCUUAACUUGGGAAUUGCAUUCGAUACUGGUUGGCUAGAGUAUGGGAGAGGAUGGUAGAAUUCCAGGUGUAGCGGUGAAAUGCGUAGAGAUCUGGAGGAAUACCGAUGGCGAAGGCAGCCAUCUGGCCUAAUACUGACACUGAGGUGCGAAAGCAUGGGGAGCAAACAGGAUUAGAUACCCCUGUAGUCC
rnacentral:rRNA from 1 species